UGUCUUUUUGAAAAUAAUAUAAAGUCUAAUCUGCCCACUGAUUUAAUAUUAAAGGGCUGCAGUAUAUUGACUGUACAAAGGUAGCAUAAUCAUUAGUCAUUUAAUUGAUGACUUGUAUGAAGGAUUGGAUGAAAUAUAAACUGUCUCUUAAUUAAAUAUAGAAUUUAAUUUUUUAAUUAAAAAGUUAAAAUGAAUUAAAAAGACGAGAAGACCCUAUAGAGUUUUAUAAUUAAUUUAAUUAAGAUUAUUUAAUUAAAUUAAAUUAAAAUUAAAUUAUUUAUUUUGUUGGGGUGAUGGAAAAAUAUAGUUAACUUUUUUUAUUUCAGAACAUUUAUAAGUGGUUAAAUGAUCCAAUAUUAUUGAUUAUAAGAAAAAAUUACCUUAGGGAUAACAGCGUAAUUUUUUUUUUUAGUUCAAAUAAGAAAAAGAGUUUGCGACCUCGAUGUUGGAUUAAGAUAAAAUUUAAAUGCAGAAG
rnacentral:rRNA from 1 species